AGUGAACGCUGGCGGCAGGCCUAACACAUGCAAGUCGAACGGCAACACAAUGAGCGCUCGCUCCUAAGGGUGGCGAGUGACGGACGGGUGACGAAUACAUCGGAUUCUACUUUUACGUGGGUGAUAACGUGGGGCAACUUACGCUAAUACAGCAUACAACCUACGGGUGAAAGCAGUGGAUCUUCGGACCUUGCGCGAUUGAAUGAGCCGAUGUCGGAUUAGCUAGUUGGCGGGGUAAAGGCCCACCAAGGCGACGAUCCGUAGCUGGUCUGAGAGGAUGAUCAGCCACACUGGAACUGAGACACGGUCCAGACUCCUACGGGAGGCAGCAGUGGGGAAUAUUGGACAAUGGGCGCAAGCCUGACCCAGCCAUGCCGCGUGGGUGAAGAAGGCCUUCGGGUUGUAAAGCCCUUUUGUUGGGAAAGAAAAGCAGCAGGUUAAUACCCCGCUGUUCUGACGGUACCCAAAGAAUAAGCACCGGCUAACUUCGUG
rnacentral:rRNA from 1 species